CUCUGUUGGGCAUGUGAGGGGAUAAAUUCUUGUUGAUUGUUGACUCCCCCAACGUUAAAAUGUUAACGUCAACUAGCCCAAUGGAUCUAUCCAUUCCCAAAUUAAAUUAGAACCCUUAUUUCUCCAUCUGAGACCUGUUUCUCUCUUGUUCAUUUCUUUCUUCCUCUGUUCUGUACUCUUCUUCCUUUGUUGUGUACAUAUUGUUUCAUUUUCUUAUGUUUUUUUUCUCAUAACUAAAUCUUCUCUAUCUUGUUUUCUUCUUUUUCCUCCUAUUUGAAACACAUUCAAAUGUCGCAAAUUCGCAUAAUUCAGUGUACGAAGAGGACCCUGAUUUAUGAUGUUGUGGUGAUUAUGCUAUGUUGAUGAACUCGACCACCUCAGCAAUCCCAGGCCGCUGAUUUUAUGGUUGUAGAAUUUCAAGAGUGAGUAACUAGUUUUAUUGAUUAUGAAUUUUUUUGCAUAAAAUGUUACAUACGUCACUGCAAUCUGGUAACAGUAGAGCAUAAACAAAAUAAAGAAACAAACGAAGUAUCUGUGAUCAUAAGUUAUUGUAUCCCCCAAAAUCAAACUUAAUUAAGUAGAUGAAGAAAAGCCAUGAAUAUAUUUGUUAAUUUCAUCAGGUUUUUCUUCUUGCAGAAAAUGGCCAACAUUUUCCAAUAUAACCACUUCUUCUAGCAAAGGUACAUCUUUCUUCAUCCCACCUUUGUCUACAUAGUCUGACUCCUGGGGCAUUGUUAGUUAAGUCCAAAUCUCCCACAAUAAAUUUUACUGGUACUUUCACUGUACCACCAGUCCAUGCUGCUGUCAAUUCCCAAUUUCUGCAUUUCAAAACCAAAUAAACUUUUUUUAUUAAAGCGCAAAAAAAAAACAUUUUUCCGACUCAAAUAAAGACAGAUAUGAAUGUACUUAUUAUAUUUAAAAAUGGUAAGCAACCCCCACUUCUAACCGAGAGGUUGUGAGUUCGAGUCUCCCCAAGAGCAAGGU
rnacentral:lncRNA from 1 species